rnacentral:rRNA from 1 species
CCUACGGGAGGCAGCAGUGGGGAAUUUUGCGCAAUGCUCGAAAGAGUGACGCAGCGACGCCGCGUGAGUGACGAAGGCCUUCGGGUUGUAAAGUUCUUUCGACAGGGAAGAAAAUGCCUGUAAGUAACUGUGUAUGUAUUGACGGUCCCUGUAUAAGCAGCCGCGGCUAACUACGUGCCAGCAGCCGCGGUAAUACGGAGGGGGCGAGCGUUGUUCGGAGUGACUGGGCGUAAAGAGCACGUAGGCGGUGUUGUAAGUCAUUAGUCAAAGACUAGAGCUUAACUUUAGUAAGGCUUGGGAGACUAUAAGACUAGAGUAUUAGAGAGGAAUGCAGAAUUCCUGGUGUAGCGGUGAAAUGCGUAGAUAUUAGGAGGAAUACCGUUAGCGAAGGCGGCAAUCUGGCUGGAAACUGACGCUGAGGUGCGAAAGCGUGGGGAGCAAACAGGAUUAGAUACCCUAGUAGUC